rnacentral:misc_RNA from 1 species
GAUGAAGAACGCAGCGAAAUGCGAUAAGUAAUGUGAAUUGCAGAAUUCAGUGAAUCAUCGAAUCUUUGAACGCACAUUGCGGCCGCCAGUAUUCUGGCGGGCAUGCCUGUCUGAGCGUCAUUUCAACCCUCAUGCCCCUAGGGCGUGGUGUUGGGGAUCGGCCAAAGCCCGCGAGGGACGGCCGGCCCCUAAAUCUAGUGGCGGACCCGUCGUGGCCUCCUCUGCGAAGUAGUGAUAUUCCGCAUCGGAGAGCGACGAGCCCCUGCCGUUAAACCCCCAACUUUCCAAGGUUGACCUCAGAUCAGGUAGGAAUACCCGCUGAACUUAAGCAUAUCAAUAAGCGGAGGA